AGUGAACGCUGGCGGUAGGCCUAACACAUGCAAGUCGAACGGCAGCACAGUAAGAGCUUGCUCUUACGGGUGGCGAGUGGCGGACGGGUGAGGAAUACAUCGGAAUCUACUUUUUCGUGGGGGAUAACGUAGGGAAACUUACGCUAAUACCACAUACGACCUACGGGUGAAAGCAGGGGGUCUUCGGACCUUGCGCGAUUGAAUGAGCCGAUGUCGGAUUAGCUAGUUGGCGGGGUAAAGGCCCACCAAGGCGACGAUCCGUAGCUGGUCUGAGAGGAUGAUCAGCCACACUGGAACUGAGACACGUUCCAGACUCCUACGGGAGGCAGCAGUGGGGAAUAUUGGACAAUGGGGGCAAGCCUGAUCCAGCCAUACCGCGUGGGUGAAGAAGGCCUUCGGGUUGUAAAGCCCUUUUGUUGGGAAAGAAAAGCAGCAGGUUAAUACCCCGCUGUUCUGACGGUACCCAAAGAAUAAGCACCGGCUAACUUCGUG
rnacentral:rRNA from 1 species